CUACUCACCGUGUGCCCACCUGGUCUGUGUUUGCGCGUGUGAGAGAGAGAAGGGGACAGGUGCACGCAGGCGUGGUUAAGAACAACAGGUAACGCUUGUUAUCGUAGCUUUCCAGCUGAACGACGUGACCGACGGUCGCAGCGAUGCUCCGCUCGUGCAGGACACCAAGAGAAUCCUCGGACAAAACAAGACCCUGAAGACAUCACCUCGGGGUCUGGGAAACUCAGCCGAUGCAGUCCAUUUCAAAUCUGCCGCAUUCGGCCCCUCGGGACAUCGCCACCGCGUAGUGCCAGUCGGCCUGUUACACAGCGAGCUGGCAAAGUCUUCGUUAAAUGUGGGUGGAGGAAGGUGUGAGGUGUCGGUGAAGGCGAUAGGACCGGGGCGGGAGGAGGAAGCUCGCCGAGGUCAUCCAUCGAAUGGCUCUGAGUCAGGAGGGGUGGCGCCUGGUUUUCUGACCCCGCCCCUUCAACGGACAGGAAGAGGGACGACCGGCGGCCCUGAACCCGGGCACGCUCUGAAAGGACCUGCUGCUGGUACAACUCCGCCCUGCUGGGGCUGCCGGGCCCGCCGCCGUCUGAUUUUGACAAAUCGUGAUCUUUGAUUCCAAGUCCUAGAAGAAAAAAAACCACGAGAGGUCAGACUGAUUGGAGGCUGAUGAGGAGGCUGCGGCAUUGUAUUUGUCUCAAUCCUGAGCACGUAACUGGACAUGGAAGUUGUUUCAACAAAGGUGACUUCCUCCUCUGCGGUUUGGUGGGUGGAGCCUGCUGUCCCACGUUAGCAUAAGGGUUUUCUAUUGGUCGACCCCGGCGGCGGGACAGCGGUGAGUGGCCGAGGGCGGGGCUGGUGCUGUGGAGAGACAGCGUGGAGGUGUGCGUGGCGGUGUGAAGCGUGUGUGUGGCGGUGUGCGUGGCGACAGCAUGUGUGUCAGGCUGCGGCGGCGGCGUGUCCUGCAGGAUGAUCAUCGACCUCGCCUUCCUCUGCCGCUCGGCAUGGGCGUGGCUCCUCGUCGGCGAAUCGGAGAGCUCCUGCAGCCUUGGCUCUGCUCCCGGCUUGAAGCUGGAGCGGGUCAGCCCCUCCCCUCUGGCGGGGGGAGGGGGCGGGAGGAAGGAGGGAGGAGGCCCGGAGUCAAGGAGGAAGAGCGACGAAGUGGAGGAGGCGGAGGGAGGAGGAGGGGGAGCUGUCUGAGGAGGAGGAGGGAUGAAGCUGUCCGUCAGCGAGGAGCUCCGUGGAAACCGAUUCUCAUUGAUCAGAGCGGUGAUCCUGUCGUCCUCAGGUGUGCCUGCCGUGGUAACCAUGGAGACGUUAAAAUAAAGCCUGUGUGAUUCGUCGGCUGGUCGGUCGCUGUUUGACCGUCGCGGCUCUGAAGUCGUCCGACGGACGGGCCCUCAGAACGACUUCCUGCUGGCCGCCGGCCAACAUCUCAU